UUUAACUCAACUCUUCUUUCGUACAGCACCGUGAAUGAGAGAAAGAAACAACCGAAGUUCUCGUGUUUGAACAAGUUUUGUUUUCAGCUAUAUCAUAGCUGCUUGUGGAGUAUUAUUUUGCGUGUUUUCUUUAAAUCAGUAAUCUGCAGCCUAAUUAUAGUUUAAAUUAUUGAACCACGCAUUUUUAUAUAAGUAAAAGGUAAAAUAUUAAAUAAUAAUUAAAGUAAAUAAGUUUUUUAAAGCCAAAAGAUGGAAUUGAAGAGGGAGAUACAGUAAUACUUUAUUUCACUGUAAAUUCGAAGCACGGGCGAAACCAUGGAAUACGUAAUACAUAUUUCAACUACUGCUUAUGGUAGCAGCGUAGAACUUUCGAAGCGAUGGAAUAUGUGCUGCAAGCAAAUCUAGAACUAUGGAUGCAAACGCUGUUACAUCGAACAGAAAGCAUUUACACACCAGAUAUUAGGUUUAAUGUCACUUUUUUUACGUACAAUUAAACCUUUUGGUCAACCCAAGCACGGGAAGAAUUGGAACGACAUGUUUUAGGUGCUUUUGUAACCGUUUAACAUCGCGACGUAUGUCAACUGGGUUUUGCCAAUGAGCUAGAGGGCAAAGCAGUUUCAGUAUUUUUGGGCUUACCGGCACUUGGCGUGCCAUUAGCAUCUAAAACACAGAAAUUAAAGGGAAUCAUAACGUUGUGGUAUCGCUUUACAAGGACAAAAUUCACCGAAAUUAGAUCAAUGGAAAUACUAUAGCAAGAGCAUGGAUGUUAAGACUUGAACGAUGCCAUGCUAGAUUUAGAAUUCCUGAAACAUAAGAAACCUUCCUCCCAGAUGAGUCUAGUACAAGUACAUCCAGGUCGCACGGGGUGUUUGACAUUUGCCACUCUUCCUCUAGCCUUUGUCCAAAAAGCAAAAAUUGUUCAAUUAUUCAAUACGUUAUAGUUACGUUAUGUAUAUAGUGUAGUACGAUAAUACAUGUAUAAAAUAAAUAUAAUAAUAAGCACCUAAAUGGCAUACAAUUUUCAAUAAAUAUGAAAUAUAAUUAA